UUAUAUUCUGUAGCAAGGUUAACCGUAUAGGGGAGCCGGAGGGAAACCGAGUCUUAAUUGGGCGUUAAGUUGCAGGGUAUAGACCCGAAACCCGGUGAUCUAGCCAUGGGCAGGUUGAAGGUUGGGUAACACUAACUGGAGGACCGAACCGACUAAUGUUGAAAAAUUAGCGGAUGACCUGUGGCUGGGGGUGAAAGGCCAAUCAAACCGGGAGAUAGCUGGUUCUCCCCGAAAGCUAUUUAGGUAGCGCCUCGUGAAUUCAUCUCCGGGGGUAGAGCACUGUUUCGGCUAGGGGGCCAUCCCGGCUUACCAACCCGAUGCAAACUGCGAAUACCGGAGAAUGUUAUCACGGGAGACACACGGCGGGUGCUAACGUCCGUCGUGAAGAGGGAAACAACCCAGACCGCCAGCUAAGGUCCCAAAGUCAUGGUUAAGUGGGAAACGAUGUGGGAAGGCCCAGACAGCCAGGAUGUUGGCUUAGAAGCAGCCAUCAUUUAAAGAAAGCGUAAUAGCUCACUGGUCGAGUCGGCCUGCGCGGAAGAUGUAACGGGGCUAAACCAUGCACCGAAGCUGCGGCAGCGAACGUAUCACCCAAGACAACUUUACGGAGUUGACGAUUGACGGAGCGAAGCGACGUCAAAGCGUUCAUUAAAGUCGAGUUGGCUUAGGGAUACGUUCGUUGGGUAGGGGAGCGUUCUGUAAGCCUGUGAAGGUGUGUCGUGAGGCAUGCUGGAGGUAUCAGAAGUGCGAAUGCUGACAUAAGUAACGAUAAAGCGGGUGAAAAGCCCGCUCGCCGGAAGACCAAGGGUUCCUGUCCAACGUUAAUCGGGGCAGGGUGAGUCGACCCCUAAGGCGAGGCCGAAAGGCGUAGUCGAUGGGAAACGGGUUAAUAUUCCCGUACUUGGUGUUACUGCGAAGGGGGGACGGAGAAGGCUAUGUUGGCCGGGCGACGGUUGUCCCGGUUUAAGCGUGUAGGUGUGUGUUCCAGGUAAAUCCGGUUCACUUUAACACUGAGGCGUGAUGACGAGGCACUACGGUGCUGAAGCAACAAAUGCCCUGCUUCCAGGAAAAGCCUCUAAGCAUCAGGUAACAU
rnacentral:rRNA from 1 species